UACGUAGGGUGCGAGCGUUAAUCGGAAUUACUGGGCGUAAAGCGUGCGCAGGCGGUUUUGUAAGCCAGAGUGUGAAAUCCCCGGGCUUAACCUGGGAAUGGCAUUUGGGACUGCAAGGCUUGAGUGCGGCAGAGGAGACUGGAAUUCCUGGUGUAGCAGUGAAAUGCGUAGAGUAUCAGGAGGAACACCGAUGGCGAAGGCGGUCUCUGGGCUGACACUGACGCUCAUGCACGAAAGCGUGGGGAGCAAACAGG
rnacentral:rRNA from 1 species